GAAAUAUUGUACAAGUGUAAGCUGCUAACUUCAUCACUUUAAUGGUUAAACUCCAUUUAUAUUUCU
rnacentral:tRNA from 1 species